CCUAACAACACACAACAUUCCAGGAAUGUACUACCAAAGUUCUAUCAAUAUUUGAAUGUCCUGGACAUUUAGGGAACAUUCGGUGAACAUCUGAUUAAAUUAUUCGUGGAAUGUUACCAUAAGACAUUCUGUGAACAUACUACCAAUGUUCCUGUUCAUUUUCAAAUUCACGGCGCAUGUAUUUGUGCAUGGUGCUUAGAGAGGGCAUCACGUGACUAAAAACGACCAAUGACCUCACUUCAGACUUCGGUUCGGCCAUCUUGACAUGCAUCUUGCCUUGGCCACCUUGCCGUGCGUGAUCGUUGUUUGUUUUUAUUUGUGCUUUUUAAGAAUAUUUUUUAAUUCGGAUACUUUUAUAAUAACUUUAAUAGUAUUAUUAAUAUAGUGCAUAAAAUCAGUUGGAGUAGCAGAAGCAAUGUAGAUAAAAAAUCUGCAGGAAUAAUGUUUCAAAGCUUUCCAGAAGAUCCUGCGAAGAAGGCAUGAAGUAUUGAUCAGAUUUGUUAAUAGAGCAGUAUGUUCAAAACAUUUUUUAGAAAAAGAUAUUGACAGAACUUCACUUUCAACCGUUUGAGAGACUGUGCUGUUCCAAUAGCUUAUAUCACACAGAAUCAGCUGAGAGAAGUGGUCUACAAAAAACCAGGAAGGAAAUGGAAUAUGUGGCUAUGAAAGGCAAAAGAAAGGUUUACAAAGCAAAUGUGACACAUUUUUUUAUAGGAAUAUCAGUAAAUUACAUUAAAAAAAUGUAUGAAAAGAUUUUUUGCAAUAAAAAUGUUUAUAUUUAUCAAGCAUGCAUUAUUUGGUAUGGCCACAUAUCGUCAGUGAUGUGACAAUACCUCCUAUCUGUUUUUUCAUGAGAUUUGUAAGAUAGACUAAAAACUUGUUUGGGCCACCUCCUGUUUUCAUAUAUUUUUUGACUUGUUUUGCAGUAAAUUUAACUAUCUAUUUACUACAAAACAAGCCAGAACUUACGUAUGCAAACAGGAGGUGACCUUAAAAAAUGUUUUUCGUCUCCUGCAAACCUCAUGAAAAAAGA
rnacentral:lncRNA from 1 species